CGUUCCGAACUGUUUUCGUGAUAUUACACAAAAUCUAUGCUUUUUCACAUUCAAUCCAGAUGUGAUAAUAAAUCGCGCAACACUGUCCGCAUGUUGUUGUUUGAUGGUCGACGGACGACGACGCCAUAUUUUUUUGUUCGAAGAUCUUCGCGUUUCAAUUUGAAUCUUUAUUAAAUAUUAGUGGUUUAUCGCGAACCUUUUAAAAUAAAAUUCGAAAGUCUAGUGCUUAAGAUAUAUGAAGUUUGGACCAGAAAGCAGCUAAAUUCAUCCGGUGCAAGGACCAUCAGCGGUAGCAACUCAAUGAAGGAAUCCGUGCCAGCAAUCUUGACGGACAAACCAUCGAAGGACAAAGUUAUUCCGAUGCAUCCGCUUUCACAGCCUAUCUUCCGCUUGUUCAAUGCGCCUGGCAAGGAGAACAAGAAACUUUUCGUCGGGGAAUCGGUUCCGAUCCGCGCUUGUGAGUGUCCCGCUUUCUGCAGAUGUUGGCCUUCCAGUCGACGCAAUAUUUUGGCGAGAAGGAUGUCUAUUUCAAGAAGCUGGAGAAACACGGCGGGAUUUGCGAUUGCUCGCGGGACACUAUUGUACAUACGGCCAACGCCGACAGCCGGAGACUGAAAUCGGUGUCACGGAUACUGGUCGAUGUCGUGUUGCUGAUGGUGCUAUGGCCGAAACUGACCAUCGAGGAAGUGAUCCGGGCAAGGCAAGGCAAGCGGUUAAAUUCUAGUUGGAAACGCUAGAAAAACACCCGGAGCAGGAAACGAUUUUGACGGACAGGAUCCAUGUGCCAGCAUUUAGAGACAACACUGCCGAAACUUUGGUAGCUGAAUAAUGUGAAAGGAUUGGCACGAAGCAUUUCAACGGGCUCUGCGAUCGUUUGCUGAGAACAUCUUGUACCAUGAACGUCUUUUGGCUAUCUGAAGAAGUUCAAUACAAUUCCUCGGGGUUAUCUCCUACGUUAGGCAUCCCAGCCAUUAUGUUUGAUCAUUCAUUUGAUUGUCUAGUGAAAUAAAAAUGUAAUGAAUAAUCAAAAUUUAUUAUUUUUUA